UACGUAGGGGGCAAGCGUUGUCCGGAUUUAUUGGGCGUAAAGAGCUCGUAGGUGGUUCGGUACGUCGGAUGUGAAAUCUCCAGGCUCAACCUGGAGGGGUCAUUCGAUACUGCCGUGACUAGAGGUCGGUAGGGGAGUGUGGAAUUCCUGGUGGAGCGGUGAAAUGCGCAGAUAUCAGGAGGAACACCAAUGGCGAAGGCAGCACUCUGGGACGUGACUGACGCUGAGACGCGAAAGCGUGGGGAGCAAACAGG
rnacentral:rRNA from 1 species